AACCCGACUCCGUGAAGCUGGAUUCGCUAGUAAUCGGCGCAUCAGCCAUGGCGCGGUGAAUACGUUCCCGGGCCUUGUACACACCGCCCGUCAAGCCAUGGAAGCCGGGGGCGCUUGAAGUGCGUUGCCGCAAGGCGCGCCCUAGAGCGAAACCGGUGACUGGGGCUAAGUCGUAACAAGGUACC
rnacentral:rRNA from 1 species